UGGGGUGGAUGAGUGGCGAACGGGUGAGUAAUACGUGAGUAACCUGCCCUUGACUCUGGGAUAAGCCUGGGAAACCGGGUCUAAUACUGGAUACGACGUCCUGCCGCAUGGUGGGGCGUGGAAAGGGGUUUUACUGGGUUUUGGAUGGGCUCACGGCCUAUCAGCUUGUUGGUGGGGUAAUGGCCUACCAAGGCGACGACGGGUAGUCGGCCUGAGAGGGUGACCGGCCACACUGGGACUGAGACACGGCCCAGACUCCUACGGGAGGCAGCAGAC
rnacentral:rRNA from 1 species